rnacentral:rRNA from 1 species
CACGUGGGCAACCUGCCCGCAAGACCGGGAUAACUCCGGGAAACCGGGGCUAAUACCGGAUACACCUUUUCCCUGCAUGGGGAAAAGGGGAAAGAUGGCUUCGGCUGUCACUUGCGGAUGGGCCCGCGGCGCAUUAGCUAGUUGGUGAGAUAACGGCUCACCAAGGCAACGAUGCGUAGCCGACCUGAGAGGGUGAUCGGCCACACUGGGACUGAGACACGGCCCAGACUCCUACGGGAGCAGCAGUAGGGAAUUUUCCGCAAUGGGCGAAAGCCUGACGGAGCAACGCCGCGUGAGUGA